ACGGGUGAGUAACACGUGAGUAACUGCCCUUGACUUUGGGAUAACUUCAGGAAACUGGGGCUAAUACCGGAUAGGAGCUCUGCUGCAUGGUGGGGGUUGGAAAGUUUCGGCGGUUGGGGAUGGACUCGCGGCUUAUCAGCUUGUUGGUGGGGUAGUGGCUUACCAAGGCUUUGACGGGUAGCCGGCCUGAGAGGGUGACCGGCCACAUUGGGACUGAGAUACGGCCCAGACUCCUACGGGAGGCAGCAGUGGGGAAUAUUGCACAAUGGGCGGAAGCCUGAUGCAGCAACGCCGCGUGCGGGAUGACGGCCUUCGGGUUGUAAACCGCUUUCGCCUGUGACGAAGCGUGAGUGACGGUAAUGGGUAAAGAAGCACCGGCUAACUACGUGCCAGCAGCCGCGGUGAUACGUAGGGUGCGAGCGUUGUCCGGAUUUAUUGGGCGUAAAGGGCUCGUAGGUGGUUGAUCGCGUCGGAAGUGUAAUCUUGGGGCUUAACCCUGAGCGUGCUUUCGAUACGGGUUGACUUGAGGAAGGUAGGGGAGAAUGGAAUUCCUGGUGGAGCGGUGGAAUGCGCAGAUAUCAGGAGGAACACCAGUGGCGAAGGCGGUUCUCUGGGCCUUUCCUGACGCUGAGGAGCGAAAGCGUGGGGAGCGAACAGGCUUAGAUACCCUGGUAGUCCACGCUGUAAACGGUGGGUACUAGGUGUGGGGUCCAUUCCACGGGUUCCGUGCCGUAGCUAACGCUUUAAGUACCCCGCCUGGGGAGUACGGCCGCAAGGCUAAAACUCAAAGGAAUUGACGGGGCCCCGCACAAGCGGCGGAGCAUGCGGAUUAAUUCGAUGCAACGCGUAGAACCUUACCUGGGUUUGACAUGGAUCGGGAGUGCUCAGAGAUGGGUGUGCCUCUUUUGGGGUCGGUUCACAGGUGGUGCAUGGCUGUCGUCAGCUCGUGUCGUGAGAUGUUGGGUUAAGUCCCGCAACGAGCGCAACCCUUGUUCACUGUUGCCAGCACGUUAUGGUGGGGACUCAGUGGAGACCGCCGGGGUCAACUCGGAGGAAGGUGGGGAUGACGUCAAGUCAUCAUGCCCCUUAUGUCCAGGGCUUCACGCAUGCUACAAUGGCUGGUACAGAGAGUGGCGAGCCUGUGAGGGUGAGCGAAUCUCGGAAAGCCGGUCUCAGUUCGGAUUGGGGUCUGCAAC
rnacentral:rRNA from 1 species